UCACCCCUCAAGCCCCGUGCUUGGUGUUGGACGGCCUGGUCGAGGUGCCCUCGACCCCUCCUAAAGACAAUGACGGCGGCCUGUGGUUCCCCCGGUACACUGAGCUUUUAACUGAGCACGUAUCGGACAAGGGCGCCCGGGACCCGGUCCUCUCCUUUCACAAGGAAACUUUUUCAA
rnacentral:misc_RNA from 1 species